GAGAGUAGAGGCUCAUCAACUGAGUUCUUUCCAGAGAGGGACCUUGUAAGGCUGACUUUGGAAUAUGACUGCAUUCUGGUAAGCCCACUGGAUAAGUGAGCUAUAACAUAAAUCCUUAGGUUAUAAGGAGGAGAGCUUACUAGAACUAUUUAUUAGUAGCCAAUGUUUACCUGCCAAAAAUGAUUUUAAUUUAUAUGUUUUCCCAGAAAACACAUCCAGCUAUGUAUUUCUAGAGUCUGAAGAUGGAGAGAUUUCCAGUUUAAGAUGCCAUACUGAACAUAUACACUGAUCUCUUUGCCUUUGGAAACUCCAUUAAGCUGAUUGUAAAGGAGGAAAAGGAUUCUCACAUGACAAUGAAGAGACUGAAGAAGUAUCAUCAAUGGAUAAAGCAGAAUAGAAAUAGCAGCCGCCUGGACCAUACCUAGAAAGGAAUCAUUUUGCCUGGCAGAAGCAUGAAACAGUUCCAUAUUUGAGAUGGCAUUUACCACUGAGG
rnacentral:lncRNA from 1 species